rnacentral:lncRNA from 1 species
AAACUUAUACAUGUGACAUACAGGCCUAUAAGGCCGACAUGACCAUUUGUAAACUCAACACAUAGGCCAAUAAGGCCAUACACGUAUCCAUAAACCUGAUAUCUGUCUACAAGCCUCUAAGAGUACAUAAAAUCAUAAAGGUCGGGACAGGGUCUGCCAUACCAAUCAAUACAUAUCCAAAGCAUACUGACCAAAUAGGCAACUCCGGAGCAAGUGGAGUACACCAACACCUCCACUGAGCUGAUAGCCUACUAGGAAGACUGUCAACCUAUCAAUAGGGACCUGCGGGCAUGAAACGCAGCGUCCCCAGGCAAAAGGGACGUCAGUACAAAUAAAGUACCGAGUAUGUAAGGCAGGAAAGACAUAAACAAGAACAUUAAUGUAAAGAGAGAUAGAGGAUAUACAACCUGUAACAUCUGCGUGCCUCUGGGAGCUACUGACAUGAAGUGCAUAAUACAUAUAUAUACAUAAACUUUUAAAAACAUACGUCUCUGUAAGCAUCAUCAUCAUCAUCAUAUUGUACCCGACCUCAAAGAGGACUCGAUAAAAACGUACCCGCCCAUCAUAAGGCUCGGUAGAAUCGUACCCGGCCACGUGGAGCUCGGUAAAUCCACCUGAUCAGUGGUUGCACAAUAGGUGUCGUACUCGGCCUACUAUGGUGCGGCUCAGUAGAUCAAAAUAGAUAUUAUAUAUAAUGCAUGCUAGACUCAUGGAAUCACGUUCUAAACCUUUCAGAGUGACGUAAGGUCGUUUCACCUUUGAUUAGCAUUAUGGACAUCAUACCAUCAAUAUGAACUUCACUAGGACUCAAGGAUCAUACAUACUUUCUUAGAAUAACUUUGUACGGAAAUAACAACAUGUACAACCUUAUUUGCUAGGAGUAGAUUCAUUAUGAAAUAGUGUAUCGUUUAUGUUCAUUUCAAUUUAGAUCAUGCCAAAAGAAAGAAGAAAGUGCCUUAACAUACCUUAACCAUGGUGAGUCCUUAAUACCUCCCAAGCUACUCUUCAUACAACUCAACUCAAUCCACC